rnacentral:rRNA from 1 species
CCUACGGGUGGCAGCAGUGAGGAAUAUUGGUCAAUGGGCGCGAGCCUGAACCAGCCAAGUCGCGUGAGGGAAGACGGCCCUACGGGUUGUAAACCUCUUUUGCCGGGGAGCAACGGGCGCCACGCGUGGCGCCACUGAGAGUACCCGGAGAAAAAGCAUCGCCUAACGCGGUGCCAGCAGCCGCGGUAAUACGGAGGAUGCGAGCGUGAGCCGGAUUUAUGGGGUUUAAGGGGUGCGGAGGCGGAGCGCUAAGUCAGUGGUAAAAUGGAGGGGCUCAACCCCUUCCCGCCAUUGAAACUGGCGCUCUUGAGUGGAAGAGAAGUAUGCGGAAUGCGUGGUGUAGCGGUGAAAUGCAUAGAUAUCACGCAGAACCCCGAUUGCGAAGGCAGCAUGCCGGCGUCCGACUGACGCUGAAGCACGAAAGCGUGGGGAUCGAACAGGAUUAGAUACCCCUGUAGUC